rnacentral:tRNA from 1 species
GUCUCUGUGGCGCAAUCGGCUAGCGCAUUCGGCUGUUAACCGAAAGGUUGGUGGUUCGAGCCCACCCAGGGAC